rnacentral:rRNA from 1 species
ACGGAGAGUUUGAUCCUGGCUCAGGACGAACGCUGGCGGCGUGCUUAACACAUGCAAGUCGAACGGUGAACCUUCUUCGGGAGGGGAUCAGUGGCGAACGGGUGAGUAACACGUGGGCAACCUGCCCCUGGCUCUGGGAUAACUCCAAGAAAUUGGGGCUAAUACCGGAUAUGACUGCUGACCGCAUGGUCUGGUGGUGGAAAGAUUUAUCGGCUGGGGAUGGGCCCGCGGCCUAUCAGCUUGUUGGUGGGGUCACGGCCUACCAAGGCGACGACGGGUAGCCGGCCUGAGAGGGUGACCGGCCACACUGGGACUGAGACACGGCCCAGACUCCUACGGGAGGCAGCAGUGGGGAAUAUUGCGCAAUGGGCGAAAGCCUGACGCAGCGACGCCGCGUGGGGGAUGACGGCCUUCGGGUUGUAAACCUCUUUCAGCAGGGACGAAGCGCAAGUGACGGUACCUGCAGAAGAAGCACCGGCCAACUACGUGCCAGCAGCCGCGGUAAUACGUAGGGUGCAAGCGUUGUCCGGAAUUAUUGGGCGUAAAGAGCUCGUAGGCGGUUCGUCGCGUCGGCUGUGAAAUCCCGAGGCUCAACCUCGGGCCUGCAGUCGAUACGGGCGGACUUGAGUUCGGCAGGGGAGACUGGAAUUCCUGGUGUAGCGGUGAAAUGCGCAGAUAUCAGGAGGAACACCGGUGGCGAAGGCGGGUCUCUGGGC